GGAAACUUCUUAUGUUGUGCAAAUGCAUUAAAUUACAACUUUAUAGUAAGCAAAACUUUAUGUGAAAAGGAACAAAACAUUUAAAAAUCUUUUAAUCUCAUUGUGAUUUUUCUAAUGUAAAGUUAAUGUAAAGACCUGUAUUAAAUAAGUGGAAUCUAUGUCUGUCACCACUUUAAAUUCUAAGUUUACCAUCUUCCAGAAGCUGAGUAACUGAACAUGGAGGAACAUUUUCUUGAGCUAAAUCUUUAAAUGAAGAGUAAAUGACAUGAGAUUAAAGAGUUGUUGUGACAUACAGUUUAUGUAUGAUCUUUGGUGCAUUUCUGAUGCACACACCAAACUUCCAACCAGAGGAAACUGCUUCAAAGAGGAAGGGUAUUAGAGCUGUUUGCUUUUUCACAUGCAGUCCUUGCUGAAGGGAUAGUGUGCUGCUGUUACACUGCUUUGUUGUGAUCAAUUGCUGCAUGCCAGAUGUCAACUGCCAAAGCAACACAUUGAAGUCAUCUGUGAUGAACAGUUCACCUGUCACAGGAUCUGUGCCAGUGUUGCAAUCAAACUGCUUCUGAAGAAACUCCUUAUACCUGGACUUGCUGGAGGCGAUGGACGAUUGCUUGGAGAUUCAAGGAGACUAACUUCUUCUACAGCCCAUCCUCUGCUCCAGAAAGAGAAUGGGUGAAGUUGAAGAAGGAAGUUGACUCUAUCUGUGAAGAUCUGCUGUGUAAUGGAAAUUAUCAGGCUGGUUCUGAGUGUACAGAACCGAAAAGGACAUGGGCUUAUUUCAUGUCUCUCCAUAAGUGGACAGGAAGAGAAUAAAGCCAGACAGAUGAUGGGAAAAAAGACAUGCAGGUGUUUGCCGCUAUGCAAAGCAUCAGGACAAAAUCUUCCAAUGUGGAAAAGAGGUAGAGCCUCAAAACAAGGCAACAGUUCAGGAACAAGCCUGGGUUCCAUUAAGCCAAGGCAAAGCCAAAGUAAGGUCAAUGUCAGGGUUACGAUAGAGGCAUAG
rnacentral:lncRNA from 1 species